AGAAUCAACGCUGGCGGCGUGCCUAACACAUGCAAGUCGAACGAGAAAGUGGAGCAAUCCAUGAGUAAAGUGGCGACCGGGUGAGUAACACGUGACUAACCUACCUUCGAGUGGGGGAUAACAUCGGGAAACCGAUGCUAAUACCGCAUAAUAUCGCAAGAUCAAAGCAGCAAUGCGCUGGAAGAGGGGGUCGCGGCUGAUUAGCUAGUUGGCGGGUAACGCCCACAAGGCGAAGAUCGGUAGCCGGCCUGAGAGGGCGCACGGCCACACUGGAACUGAAACACGGUCCAGACUCCUACGGGAGGCAGCAGUGGGGAAUUUUGCGCAAUGGGGGAAACCCUGACGCAGCAACGCCGCGUGGAGGAUGAAGCCCCUUGGGGCGUAAACUCCUUUCGACCAAGACGAUAAUGACGGUACUGGUGGAAGAAGCACCGGCUAACUCUGCGCCAGCAGCCGC
rnacentral:rRNA from 1 species